CUUAAUUAUUGCAUAAUAUAAUUAAACAUUAUACAAGGGCUUUUAUUAUCCUUGGAUAAGCAUUAGUUUCCCAUGAAAUAAAACGAAAACAUAGCCCUUAUCUAUUUAACGAGGCACUGGCCUAGAUUGGACAAUUCGAAGGAAACAUAAACAUGUACGUUUCAAUAAAGUAUUUAGUUAUUAAUUAUAUAGAAUACAUUUCUUAUAACACUUUAUCUUUGUUGAGGAUUGAAUUAUAGCGGACGCAUUUUUAUUCUACAAACUAAAACCCAACGCCCAAGUUAAAAAACAAACAAACAAAAAAAGAAACGUUUAAAAAACAAAACCAGGUAGAAACAGCAAAUAUUUGUUCUAGCAGUAUCCAGAUAUAAUAAAUAUAUCGACUGACAUUUUUAAAGUUCGGCUCUGGGAUCCUGCAAACUGACACAAACAUCUCAGAUAGGACCUUAACGUGUGAAUAGGAGAAUCAGGGAGGGCAGGGAACAUUAGAUGGAAUAUAAUCAUUAAAUCCAACGUUUAGCAUUUAAGACAGAAAUGUGUUUAUUCACAAAAAAAAGUAUGAAUUGCAAUGAAUUUAAAGUGAAUUCAUUUAUUCAGUGCUCUAGUUGCCAUUUGCACCACUUUCCAUUAAAAUUAUGUGUAGCUGGCAAAGUAGUUUACAGAGCACCAACAAGUGCUGCAGCGCUGUACGGGGGGGGUAAGGAAAAUCAAACCAGUUUAAACAAACAAAGGCGAAAAUGGAAAAUAAAAACGUGAACACGGCCCUGACGCUAAGUGGUCUGUUUAUUGAUCUUUUACAAGCUGAUUAAUUUGAGUUUUACAAUGUAUGAAUUCAGUUUCUGUAGGGAUUGUAACAGUGUUUGUGAUAUUAGAACCUCCCGGACACUUUCAAAGCUUCCGUCAGCCGAUAUUCCCUCUCUACGUAUCUCAGUACAGAAUCCACCUGUAAUCAUUGCUGAUUAUAGUACUUACCUGUUCUGUGCUGUGUAUUAAGAUCACUUUGUAUUCUUAACAUUAUAUUGUAUCCGAUUGUAACGAUGCAGUGUUAGUGGGCCCAGGACAUACUUGAAAAUGAGAGACGUCUCAAUGUAUCCUUCCAGGUAAAAUAUUUUUAUAAAUAGACUUGUCACACAAGCAGUGAAAUGGAACUGCACCAUUUAGCCAGCAGAGGGCGUUGUGGCACACUCCGUUUACAGUCAGGUGCGAGGAUUAUUACACCAGAUUAAGGUUUUCCUUGCAGCCAUUUAGCAUUGAGCCCGUGGAAAGCCAAGAAACAGACACAUUGUGUCGCAAUGAUCCCCAAACAAACAGCAGAGCUUGGAGGAAGGUGGAACGCCUUGAUUUUAUAUCUGUGUCAAUCGCUCGUACAGCAACAACAAAAUACAAGGACCUUGUGGGGAGUUGGGGAGAGACAAGGAGAGUUUAUUCUUCAUUAAAACACAAAUUAUUUAGAACAAACCAGGAAAUUGCCAAUAUUACAUUUUAAAUAAACCUUUGUCAAAACGAUCAUUGUGUCAGUUGGCCAAAAAUUUAAAUUUCUAGUUUAAGAUCAAAUUCAAAGGAAAUCUGUUUAUAAACUCCUCCCAUGUAUCACAGUGGUGUAAAUCUACAAUCUGACAGCGUCUCAAUAUGAUGGACACACGUGAGAGUAGGAUCCAUUAACAUGGUAAGAUACAAAAGUAACAUAACGUGCUGCUGUAUCACCUCGAUAUUCCUGUAUCUUACCAUAAAAUGCUCCUGUGACAAUAUCAUCUCAAUGUAGUGUGAUAUCACAAGGACGCAUAAUGGCAGGGUGCAGAUGAUGUAGUGUGAUGUCAUUAUGGCAGGAUACGGAUGAUGUAGUAUGAUGUCAUUAUGGCAGGAUACGGAUGUGGUGUGAUGUCAUACAGACGCAUUAUGGUAAUAUACAGAUUAAGUUUAGGGUAACUGGACAGGUAUGAACGAUAUGAUGUAACCAACCUCCCACCAUACAUUCCCACAUUACGGAUAGGCCCAUGCACACUCGCUAAAGGUCUGCAUUUGGAUAAGAGAAGUGGCUGCAGUGGGGGAGAGCCAAUCAUACGACAGGGAUUCCACAUCCUACAGAGCCCAGCGUGCCAAGUGAGUGUGUGAACAGGUACAGGUGAAAUCGAAACCUUUUGGAGACUGCCAGGAGGAAAACAAAGGGAAUUAACAGACAUUGUUUCUUCUCAAUAAACCAGACAUUCCGUUUCCUGGAGGGAAACUAGGCUCUCGGAGUUUAGAAGAUGAUACUAGGAACGCCUCAAAGUGGUUUAAUAGAAAUAUUUGCUGCAAUCAGAGGCAAUUCAGAAAACUCCAAAUGUUGCGUCCCAUUGGGAGAAAACCGCUUUAUAAAAAUCUAAUUAUUACUUUUAUAGUCCUGAAAGGGCUGGGAAGUGUUAACAGAGGCCCAGUUUUACACAAUUUGAAAAUGUCCUUUCUUGAACACCUCUCCCCCUCC